AUCAAAAAAUCGAUAAACAGCUCAUCUGAUUAAUGGGAGGCCAAAAGCAAUGCUGGGUGGUUCUGCUGACUUGAAGUGUCUAUUAGUUAGUAACUUUUCCAUAUAUGA